GCGGGCCCGGCGCUAUCGCGGGAAGGGGCGGGAGCAGCGCCCCGAGGAGCGGCCAAGGCGGAGGCGGAGAUGGCGCUGGGAGGCGGGGUUUCAGGAGCAGACAUUCCAGUUCGCUGGGGACGUGUAGGAGCUGGUGCCCCGUGGCUCUGGGGGACACCCAUUACGCUUAGCUGGUGCUCGGGAAAUAGAGAGUUGGGCAGAGUUCCCAUCCUGGGGAGCUUGCAGUUGGAAAAAUCCUCUACACACCAAGAAGGCUGGCAGAGUAGCAGUUGAUCCACAGUGGGAGCCCAGAGGGGGAAGCUGUUGGCACAGUAGGCUCCUGGCAACGUGGGAUAAAGCAGUACUUGCAACAGGAGAAGGGGAGGAAGCGAGUCUGCAUGAGACCAGAGCUGCCCAGUGAAAAGCAGCCCAGAGCUCAGGGAUUUCCAGGGAGCAGUCAGAGCUUUCCUGCUCUGUGCCGUGGGCUCGGGCUUGGACACAGACAGCGAGUUCCUGUCCUGAAUGUCAGCAGUGGCUGCUGGGUGACAGAUGAAAGAACCAGAAAGCCAUUCCAGAAGUGCUGUGUGGUAUUUGGAGAGCUGGGUACCAGCUGCAGCACAGAUUUCCAGAGGUUUCAGUUGAGUGAGGAGAGGGCUGUGGGCUCAGGUAAAUCAUGUGAAGGAGGUGAAGCACGUGUGUUGUAAGAGUUAAUGGUACAACGUAGCCCUGCUCUACAUAAGCACGUUUUGUGCUGAUGUUUCCCAGUUCCUGAAGCCAGUGUAGGAAAAGGUGUGUGGCUGGCAGAACUGCAAGCCCAGACAAGGCACUUCUGGGUGUGGAUGCUCCCAGCCUAUUGCCAGGUGCUUCAAAUAGGCAUUUAUGUCAGAGAUCUGAGGUCAGUUCAAUGAUAGCCAAUUUCAGCCCUGGAUUAUUACAUAAAUAUUAAUAAGAACAGGGGAAUAUUUCACAUUUAUGUUAUUGGUCAGCAGAGUUUUCACCUAACCCUUAAGCAGUACUGGUGUGGAAUAUAUUUCCCUUCAAGACAACUAAGAAAACUUUAAAAGUUUGGCCAAAGAAAACCUGUUCACCUCUUUAAUAACCUUGUGAGUUUAAUGAAAAGUAAUCUUAUUUUCUGCAUACCUGACAAGGAAAAACAGGAGAAGAGAGUCAACUCAAAUGGGAAUUGUAUUCUUCCCUGCUUUUGUACCCUUAAUCACCUUUAGCAUCUUUGUUGCUUGAUUUCCCUCCUUGUAAAAUAGGCAUAAUGAGACUGAAGUCCUAGUAAAGCAGGCAGAUCUGAAGGGAAUAGAUGCUGGACAAGUGGUAUGUACUAUUUUUAUUUUUUAAAAUGAAGUAAGGAGAAGCAAUGGAUUUUCAUCUGGAAGAAGAUCUAGUAUUAACUUGUUGGUAUAAAAUAUUCGUUACUGCCCCCAUUUGCUUUUAGGAUAUCAAUCAAUGGCAUUUUUAUUGGUUCAUGAGCCUUGUAAUGCAUUUUGAAUCUGACCCAGGACUGUGUGGAGCAUAUACUGGCGCUUAGAUUUAUGCCAGUUUAACUCCCUGGUCAUUCUUUGACCUUUUUGACCAAAUAUCUCCCAGUUGCUAAGGGCUUGCUUUUUGUGGGGGUUGUUUUGUUUUCUUUACUUUCAGAGUCUCUGCUUCGAGGGGCUCUGACAGUGAUUUGGAGUUGUUCGUGUAGGAGGAAUUAUCACACGGCAGCUUCCCAGAGGGGGGGAUGCUGAGACACAGCCACCAGCACCUCUCCACCUUCCCACUGGUGGUUUCCGAAAGAAUCAGCCCAGUUUCUCCGUCCUUUGGCAAGAAGAUGGCCACGUGAAACACGAGAAUUCUGCUCUGUACCCCACUCAGGGAAGAGGAUGGGUGCUGCAGACGCAGGAGCGGGGAGGUGAAGCUGAGGCCACCUUUGGUCACUUCCACCCCUAAAUCAGCCCCUGGGCUUCCCUGCCUGCUUCUCCACCUGUGUGACGUUGUGCACUGUUCCCCACGGUGCAAUGCUUUUUAAGGGAAAGCGAGGAGCGCUGGAGCGCAGGUGGGAACCAGCGGCGCCGGGGAUGACGCCGGCUGACACAGAGCCCGUCCUGCCUCCUUCCGGCUCCCACGCUGUCCCCUCCCUGGGCUGGCACGGCCUUGGGAAACGCGUCCCGCUCCGUCCAGCCCGGCAAAAACCGGAAUGGCUGGCCGGAGAGGAGUUUGCUUCUUUUCAGGGUGUCACCGCGUACCGAGGAUUAAAGUCCUCGCGGAACUGGCGUGUGCGUGGCAGCCGCUGCUCCCGGUGAAAGCCAGGAGCUUCCCUGGUUUGUCCUGGCUAAAAGGGAAUUGUGCUGCGGCUGGAAACGCGACCAAGCGAGUCUCAAAGCGUUUCUUUCAUCCUCACUUGAUGCUUAGUACACGUUUACUCCGGCUUCCUAAGCCUCGUCAACAUCGCAGCCGAACACAUGCCCGUCUCAGGAGCGGUGUUGUGUAAAUAAAUCCUGUGCCUUGCAGGGUGUCACGGAGUUGAUGGGAAGCCUGGAGAGGGGAGGGCGUGGGAGCAGCAUGCCAGUGUUAAUGUUCUGCUUUCUGCGCAGGAUUGCGACAGGAUUGCAACAGCCCGGCCUGUCUGAGCUGCUGCACGUCCCGGCAGCGCGGCUCUGCUCCUGAGUUUGAUGGGGUGCUGAUAGAACAAUGCACCUUUCUGGGAAAUGGUAAUGCACGGCAGGACUUCUGACAAGGAAAUUGGGAACAAACCAUAGCUGCUUUCUUCUCGGAGUGCUGAUGAUUUUCGGGUGGCCCACCAGGCAGCCAAGCAAAAAAUAUACAUGACAGUGUUCACUCAAAGGGUAAAAGUUUUUGGGUUGCCCAGAGUAAGAACUGCAGAAGAUGUGCUGAAUUCAAGAACUGCAGGCGUGUAUUCAACUAAACCCAGGUUUCUGUAUCUGUUUUUGGGGUCCUUGAUCAGAGUGGGGCCUCCAGAGCAGCCUGUUCUCUCUGCAGAGAAGCAGAGAAGUGCAGUUGGUGAUGGUGAGCAGUGUUAAAACACAGGUGCAUAAGUUUGAAAAUGUUGAUCCAAAUCACAUUAUUGUAAGUAGUAGGGAA